GGGUCAGCUAUUCUGGAACUAAUGGCGUUGACGGAUUUUGAGUUUGACACAUGGAUUUCGAGAAAAUCCGAAAAUAAGUGUUUUAUAUGUAUUUGUGCGUAGUUCUUCUGUUGGAGAGAUGGAUCAGAUUUCGUUGCGAAUCCAGGAUGGAUCGAGGCGAAACGAAAUCACAGCUUUGUUGUCUCUGUUGUGCUGAUCGCACUAGUGUGAUCCGUUCGCAAAUCUGACGGACGGAUCUGCGGAUAUCGCACGUUGAUCAAGGAGGGGUCUUAGUUGGCAAAACGGUAUUUUUGCGAAAGAUGUGACAUUUUAUGUGCCGUUUUGUGUGAAUUUGAUUGUGGAUGUGUAUUCGCGCAUUUUA
rnacentral:lncRNA from 1 species